AUCAAAGGGAAUAACACUGUCGAUGGCUUUUUAGACUCAUCUUUUUUAAGGUGGCUCUUUGAAGAAAGAUCGUAUUGAACCAGUCAAUAGACAAGCAGAAGGUAAUAAGAAAAAAAAAAAAAAAGCAUAACCCAACAUAAGCAAAAGAACACUUUCAAUGAUGGCUAACUAGAGUUAUUCUAUAAUUACUCCACCAUAGCCCUGAAAAUGAGUCACCAAAGACUGAAUAUUUAUAAGCUUUCUGACCUCAAAAAAAUUCAAAAUCUUAAAUGAGGUCACCUAAGGAGACUGUGGAAAACUUCCAUGCAACUUAUUGGCAGAUUUUAGUUCUUAAUUCAACAAGAGUGGUAUGAAACGCACGCCAUCUGGUUACUGGGAAAAUUCUAGUCCGCAUUAACUGCUUGUGUGAGAGACAUUCCUGCUAUUGAGCUGUAAAUGAGUGCACCUGCAAAUGGGGAAAAGAGCACGUCUUAUCACUUGCUCCUAGGGCUGGGAGACGUGAUGACGUAACACCGCCGUCCGUUCCAUCCGCUUUUAGACUCAUCAGUACAGCUGUUCUCUGCUCCUGCGAUUGUGCCUCGCUGUGCGCCGGAACAGGAGUGCGCGGUGGAGGGGGUUUCAACUGACACUGAGAGGAAACGGUCCCUUCUUGUUUCUCCAGGGCAACUCCAACAUCUCAGAUGAAGCGCAGGAACAAUAUCAGCAGUGGCUUGCAAGGUAAAAUUGAUCCAUGCAAAGCAGCUGAAACAAUGGCCAGUCCCCAAAGAACUAAACAGGAGGCGCUUCAGGAGCACUGUUCCUCUCCAUCCCGCCCAGCCGUGACACAGCCAGCCUGAUGCCCCUUUCCUCACCGCCGUUGCUCUGGAUCUUCAGCCGUCAUGGAGGAUUAAGGUCCAGAGCUGCUCCAGGCCCGAGUAAGUAUUGGGCUGACACUUCAAUCCG
rnacentral:lncRNA from 1 species